CGUGUCGUGAGAUGUUGGGUUAAGUCCCGCAACGAGCGCAACCCCUGCGGUUAGUUACCCGUGUCUAACCGGACUGCCCUUCGGGGAGGAAGGCGGGGAUGACRUCAAGUCCGCAUGGCCCUUAUGUCUGGGGCGACACACACGCUACAAUGGCGCCGACAAUGCGUCGCUCCCGCGCAAGCGGAUGCCAAUCGCCAAACGGCGCCCCAGUGCAGAUCGGGGGCUGCAACUCGCCCCCGUGAAGGCGGAGUUGCUAKUAACCGCGUAUCAGCCAUGGCGCGGUGAAUACGUACCCGGGCC
rnacentral:rRNA from 1 species